rnacentral:rRNA from 1 species
AUACGUAGGGGGCGAGCGUUGUCCGGAAUGAUUGGGCGUAAAGGGCGCGUAGGCGGCCUGUUAAGUCUGGAGUGAAAGUCCUGUUUUCAAGGUGGGAAUUGCUUUGGAUACUGCCGCGCUUGAGUGCAGGAGAGGUUAUCGGAAUUCCCGGUGUAGCGGUGAAAUGCGUAGAGAUCGGGAGGAACACCAGUGGCGAAGGCGGGUAACUGGACUGCAACUGACGCUGAGGCGCGAAAGUGUGGGGAGCAAACAGGAUUAGAUACCCUGGUAGUCCACACUGUAAACGAUGAAUGCUAGGUGUAAGAGGUAUCGACCCCUUUUGUGCCGGAGUCAACACAAUAAGCAUUCCGCCUGGGGAGUACGGCCGCAAGGUUGAAACUCAAAUGAAUUGACGGGG